AAACUAACAAGGAUUCCCCAGUAACGGCGAGUGAAGUGGGAAAAGCUCAACUUUGAAAUCUGGCUGUUUUACAGUCCGAGUUGUAGUCUCGAGAAGUGUUUUCCGCGUUAAACCGCGUAUGAGUCUGUUGGAACACAGCGCCAUAGAGGGUGAGAACCCCGUUCAUGACACGGCUUUUAAUGCUUUGUGAUACACUUUCGAUGAGUCGAGUUGUUUGGGAAUGCAGCUCAAAUUGGGUGGUAAAUUCCAUCUAAAGCUAAAUAUUGGCGAGAGACCGAUAGCAACAAGUACCGUGAGGGAAAGAUGAAAAGCACUUUGGAAAGAGAGUUAAAAGUACGUGAAAUUGUCGAAAGGGAAACGCUUGAAGUCAGACGUGCACGGGAUUUAUUCCUAUUGCAGGCCAACAUCGGUUUUACGAGCCGGAUAAAGGUACAAGGAAGGUAGCAGUUUCGGCUGUGUUAUAGCCUCGUACUGAAUACGGAUUGUGAGACCGAGGGACGCAGCGCGCCGCAAGGCAAAGGGUCCGCCCUUUUCGCGCUUAGGAUGUUGGUGAAAUGGCUUUAAUCGAC
rnacentral:rRNA from 1 species